UAAAAGUCGUAACAAGGUUUCCGUAGGUGAACCUGCGGAAGGAUCAUUAUUGAUUGGUCGAAAGACCUUAUCAGAUUCUACCACCUCUGUGAACCGUUGACCUCCGGGUUAAUAAUCAAACAUCAGUGUAACGAACGUAAGAGUAUCUUAAUUAAACAAAACUUUUAACAACGGAUCUCUUGGCUCUCGCAUCGAUGAAGAACGCAGCGAAAUGCGAUAAGUAAUGUGAAUUGCAGAAUUCAGUGAAUCAUCGAAUCUUUGAACGCACCUUGCGCCUUUUGGUAUUCCGAAAGGCAUGCCUGUUUCAGUGUCAUGAAAUCUCAAUCUAAUAUGUUUUCUGAACAUGUUAGGCUAGGACUUGGGUGUCUGCCAGCAAUGGCUCACCUUAAAUGACUUAGUGGAACAUCCCACAUCAGUGUUAGACGUAAUAAGUUUCGUCUCUCCUUGUGGUGAUGACUGCUCAGAACCUGCCAUCGCGCAUCUUUUGACUUUGACCUGAAAUCAGGUAGGGCUACCCGCUGAACUUAAGCAUAUCAAUAAG
rnacentral:rRNA from 1 species